rnacentral:rRNA from 1 species
CAGUCGCCGCGGUAAUGCGUAGGGGGCAAGCGUUAUCCGGAAUUACUGGGUGUAAAGGGAGCGUAGACGGUUAAACAAGUCUGAAGUGAAAUGCCGGGGCUCAACCCCGGAGCUGCUUUGGGAACUGUAGAACUGGAGUGUCGGAGGGGUAAGCGGAAUUCCCAGUGUAGCGGUGAAAUGCGUAGAUAUUGUGAGGAACACCGGCGGCGAAGGCGGCUUACUGGACGACAACCGACGUUGAGGCUCGAAGGCGUGGGUAGCAAACAGGAUUAGAUACACCAGUAGUCCCUGUCUCUUAUAA